UGCUUGCAGACCUGUUCCCAGCCAGAGUCCAGUGAGGAAGCAAUGUGGACAGGUGGAGGCCGGAUUAGGAAGAAGCAGAGCCAUGGCCAGCCAGCAAAGCUUGGAGAAGACUGGACGAGCCGAUGCCCCUGCUUCUGCUCGCAGAGCCUAGAGUUUCCACGGAAGGAAAACUGAUGACCAUUGGUCCUGGGAUCAUUGGAAGAACUGGACAAAGGAAGCAUUUCCAAGAAGGAUUGCACAGCUGUGCAGUGGGUCUCAACUCCCGUUUGAGGUUACUCAUUAACCUGCAACCUCUCCAUCUCAGGACACAGAGAAAAUGUCCACACUGAUUAAACUUACUUCCCAGGGACACCUCCACACCCCAAAUGGCAGUUGAGAAAUUCAUCCUCGCCACACCAGUGGGACCUCGCUCUGUUCAAGUUCUAUUACUGUCUGUAGCCCCAACACAAGAACACACCCUGGAAGAACAGGGUGCCAUCAUGAGCUUCCUAUAUUGAUUAAUUAAGUUACCUGGUAAGAAAAUGGGUAGAACGCAAGCAGAUGCCUCCAUAACCUCUCUGGAAAACAGACGCAGCCCCUUUCCUUCCGAGGCUCCUGAUGUGUCCUCUAAGCUGCCUGCUUCUGCCGCUAUUUGGGGACCAGAGAUGCAGUGCAGAGAACUGGAGAAAAGCUCUUUGCUUGGAAGCUCUGGAAGCACUGUCUCCUUGGACCACCCGAGGUCACAGAUUUAACACACACUAAGUCAUGUCUGGUGGCCCGUGGCCAAGCAAAGAGGAGGCAGAAAUAAUCUGCCUGCUCAAGGUAAGAGGUAGGAGUGAUUUGAAUAAUUAUCUAUAUUUUAGACAAAAUGGGGCAUUCUAUUAUGUUAUGCAAAUUCAAAUAAUAGACUUUUUUAUGUGAACUACAUCAGUUUACAUCCUCAUUAUCUCAAGGUUUCGGUGUUCAACCAGGUAAUGACAGCUGUGGAGACAGACUUGGAAAUUUGCUGCGCCUGCAUUAAUUUACUGGAGGUAACUGACCUAGCCAGACAUCCCUAAAUAUGACAUAAAAUUCACUGACUGCAUUUAUCCAUGAAUCCAGCCAAAUUCCAGCCCUGCAUUUCUCACCUCCUAUUAAACAUAACGACAGAUGCACCAACAGAGGUUACUAGGGACCCUCUCUGAGGCAUUGUCUUGCUGAGAGAUAAAGUUCUGUAAUUAAGUCGCUGUUCACCAAUGUGGAAAUAAUACAGUGUAUUGGAAAGCAGUAAUUAACCCAACUAUCGUCUCUGUAACAGCCAGUUACACGUGGGACUCAUUAGAACUGACUUUGUUUGGAGUCCAAUGGCUCCUACUUUCAGUUGGGCAGGAAUAAAAUAGGGUGUGGGACUUCCCACCUGACUGGAAUGCUUCUAGGAGGCGUUCUCUUGUUACCACUGGGACCAACUAGGUGGUAAGUGAGACCCAACAGCUAGGAGAAAUGCCAUCAACCUGAUCUUCUUAAGUGUUGCUCCAAAGACUUGCCCCACCCCAAAGGGCUGGGCUGGGGGUCUGAGAGUAAUGGUUGUGUAAGAGCAAAGAAGCUGAACGUUAAGUCAAUGAAGUGGUCACAGGAGACAGUGCAGGGUUUCAGAUCAUCACGAGAAAAAGUUCUGAUGGGCUCCAUCGCAGAUUUUGUAGGGGAGGGCAAUGAGAAGAGAGAGUUCGUGAACACCUCCCAUCACAAGUGGUCACAGUUUGUGUACAUGGGGUGAAGAGACUUGCUCAAGUUGACACAAUUCCACAGUAAGUGGAAUGUCAGGAUCAGAGUCCACAUCUAUCUGACUCUAAAACCUGACACCUUUUCCACUAUUCCAGGCUGUGCGUUCCCAAUUUCCUCUUGGAGGGAUGGUGCAGCCCAGUUUUUUCAUUUUUGGCAGGAUAUCAAAAGAACAUGUGGAGCUUCUAGAAAUUAUAGUUGCCCAGAUCUACCUAAUAUGACGCUUUGGGGGACAGAGCGCAAGCAUCUGUAUUUCUAAAAAGCUCCAGGAUUAAUCACCUCUGAUGUGCAGACAGAAUUGGAAGCCACUGAUCCAAGUGCAGUGAUUACACAACAAUUUAACACUAAUAACGUUUUCUUUACAGGAGCCCAGACUGGUUUAUUCAUUCAAUAAACACUUCGGAGCUCCUACUACCUGAUGGGCUAGUGUUCUUGGUAAAGUACCCGUCUUGGUCCCUGGCACAUAGCAGGCGUUCAAUAAUUCAGUUUAUUCAUCACCCUUAACAAGAGGUUCCACUCAUUCAGAGACUGGGCAAAGUGAUGGGAAAGCAGGGGUGGGGAAGCGCCAGCAGACUUGAAGCAGAGACAGGCAAGUAAAUCAUGAGCGGCAAUUCAGAGUCACACCCAGCAAGAGUGUAUACACAGAAAGGUGACCCGUGGAGGUGGGCAGGGGAGGUUUUAUGGAAGGAAGUGAUGUCUGAGCUGGGUUUGAGAUACACACUGGUGUCUGAUAAGUGUCCAGUGCUUUCUCACUGGAAGGCUCCAGGCUAAGGGCUGAAACACACACUUGCUCUCCUCACCCUCAUGCGAAGUGGUCUGAUGUCAGCAGUGUGACCAUUGGGCCAGAUUUAGUUUUCAGCAGAAGAGAGAAACUGGGGUCCAGAGUAUGUAAAUACCUUGCUAGGAGCCAGGAGCCUGGCUCAGGGAAGGCCUCCCAGUUACACCCUUCCUUCUCCAAACCCUCUAGCAAAUGCUAGGUAGGAACGCCUGCUCCUGCACACGUCCAACGGAAGGCCAAGUAGCAGACAUAUCUUUCAUAUCUCAGUUCAGCUCCUGCCACUUCUGAGUCCCAUUCCUCCAGGGAGACAGAUGCCUUCCUCAAAUGUCAUUGAAGAGAGUCAAGGAGAGUUAAGAAGAUAACAUGUCAUUUUCCUGGCACAGAGAAGGGGCCCUAAGACAUGACUCAUCAUCCUCACAUCCCUUACUGCCCAUCACAAGGUCCUUUAAGGGAGUAGCCCCUUGGCCACCAAUCCGCAAGCAGUCUCAUGGGGCAGGUGCUGCAUAAGUCACUUUAGACAUCUUCCCUCGUUGAACCUCAGGGUGACACUAUGAGGUUGGCAUAAAUGGGCAGGGAAAAGAUACAGGAGAGAAAAAUCUCUACGUGGCGUUGAAGAAGCAUCAGAGGAGUGGAGGCAGAGAAGGGUGUUGAGCCAAAGGGAGUGUUUCUAGGAUCAAAUCUUCCAUGGUGAGCAGGAGUGCAUCCUAGGGGCAUGCAGAUGGAAGCCGGCCCACCUGCUGGAGCAGAGGGGCCUGGCUGCCACUCUGCCACUGCUGCCUGGCCACCCUGGCCCCAAUCAGCUCCUGUCUACGGGGGAAGCAGGACCGAGGGAGGGCAGGCAAGGCAGGAAGCAACAAGCAUUCCAAGCUCCCAGCCUAGUGACGGAUGAUUCAUCCCUCACCCCUCAUGUCAUCUCCUAUUUGUGCAGUUCUCAUCUUUAUUUCAUGAAUAUUUUAUUCUCAGAGCAAUGGCUCCACUUCCCCCAUAAAUCUAGCGAGUGGCUCUUGACUGCGUCUGCGGAGCUUGGCGCAUCACCUGCAUUGGGUAACUACAUAAUCGUCUGAUUCCUUAGAAAAAAAUAUGAGCUCAAAUCCACAUGAAUAUUAAGGGGUUGAACACACAUUACUACUCUUCCUCAAGUAGGUGUCUAAACGCUGAAGACAUCCCAGCAUAAGCCAUUAAACAUGACUAGGACGCCACCCAAAGACAGGUUUCUAGCUCUUAAGAAAUAUGGCCAAUGUCCCAAAACGAAGCAUUCUAAGAUUAACCAGACACUCUCGCCUAAUUGCAAAUGCUGCUCCAUAAAACAUGGGCAACCAGUAACACAAAGUAGUCCUAGAUGAAAUACCAUCAUUAUUUGUUGAAGGUUUUAAAGAUAUGCUUUUAGGGGCUGGCCUGGUGGCAUAGUGGUUGGGUUCCCACGCUCUGCUUU